rfam:Oryza nivara chromosome 2, whole genome shotgun sequence.
AAUAAGUGCAGUUUUACACUAUUCACGUUCAACGUUUGAUCGUUCGUCUUAUUUGAAUUUUUUUUUAUGAUUAGUAUUUUUAUUGCUAUUAGAUAAUAAAACAUGAAUAGUAUUUUAUGUGUGACUAAAUAUUUUUAAUUUUUUCAUAAAUUUUUCAAAUAAGACAGAUGGUCAAACGUUGGACACGGAUAUUUACGGCUGCACUUAUU